GAUGAACGCUGGCGGCGUGCCUAAUACAUGCAAGUCGAGCGAACAGACGAGGAGCUUGCUCCUCUGACGUUAGCGGCGGACGGGUGAGUAACACGUGGAUAACCUACCUAUAAGACUGGGAUAACUUCGGGAAACCGGAGCUAAUACCGGAUAAUAUAUUGAACCGCAUGGUUCAAUAGUGAAAGACGGUUUUGCUGUCACUUAUAGAUGGAUCCGCGCCGCAUUAGCUAGUUGGUAAGGUAACGGCUUACCAAGGCAACGAUGCGUAGCCGACCUGAGAGGGUGAUCGGCCACACUGGAACUGAGACACGGUCCAGACUCCUACGGGAGGCAGCAGUAGGGAAUCUUCCGCAAUGGGCGAAAGCCUGGCGGAGCGACGCCGCGUGAGUGAUGAAGGUCUUCGGAUCGUAAAACUCUGUUAUUAGGGAAGAACAAAUGUGUAAGUAACUAUGCACGUCUUGACGGUACCUAAUCAGAAAGCCACGGCUAACUACGUG
rnacentral:rRNA from 1 species